CGCUUUCGUGCAUGAGCGUCAGUGUUAUCCCAGGAGGCUGCCUUCGCCAUCGGUGUUCCUCCGCAUAUCUACGCAUUUCACUGCUACACGCGGAAUUCCACCUCCCUCUGACACACUCUAGCUCGGUAGUUAAAAAUGCAGUUCCAAAGUUAAGCUCUGGGAUUUCACAUCUUUCUUUCCGAACCGCCUGCGCACGCUUUACGCCCAGUAAUUCCGAUUAACGCUUGCACCCUACGUAUUACCGCGGCUGCUGGCACGUAGUUAGCCGGUGCUUAUUCUGCAGGUACCGUCAGUUUCACGGGGUAUUARCCCAUGACGUUUCUUUCCUGCCAAAAGUGCUUUACAACCCGAAGGCCUUCAUCGCACACGCGGGAUGGCUGGAUCAGGGUUUCCCCCAUUGUCCAAAAUUCCCCACUGCUGCCUCCCGUAGGAGUCUGGGCCGUGUCUCAGUCCCAGUGUGGCUGGUCGUCCUCUCAAACCAGCUACGGAUCGUCGCCUUGGUGAGCCGUUACCCCACCAACUAGCUAAUCCGAUAUCGGCCGCUCUAAUAGUGCAAGGUCUUGCGAUCCCCUGCUUUCCCCCGUAGGGCGUAUGCGGUAUUAGCUACGCUUUCGCGUAGUUAUCCCCCGCUACUAGGCACGUUCCGAUACAUUACUCACCCGUUCGCCACUCGCCACCAGACCGAAGUCCGUGCUGCCGUUCGACUUGCAUGUGUAAGGCAUCCCGCUAGCGUUCAAU
rnacentral:rRNA from 1 species